rnacentral:ncRNA from 1 species
UGCCAGAGGCCAGUAUUACCCUCUGGCACUUCUGUCGCAAGUCGCA